rnacentral:ncRNA from 2 species
AAUGUAUCCCGUAAUACAGCUCAUAUAGCCCCGCGAGAAUGGCGCGGGGCGUUUCUACGGAGCCGCCGACGGCUCUGCUAUGGGUGUUUCGAUGCAGGGU